UGCUCAUGAAGUAUCCCUUCAGAAAUCACUUUCUGCAGAAGAAAAGCACGGCUAUUGUUUUAUCAAUUGCCAUAUGGGUCGUGGUCACAUUGGAACUGACGCCCAUGUUCACUUUCCUCAACGACCAGAAAAAUAAUAGCAAUGGUAGCCUAUGCGUGGAUUAUGCAAGCUCCGGAGUUGCAAAAGACAGCCUAAUCUAUAGUAUGAUACUGACAGUGACUGGCUUCAUAAUCCCAUUGUGCGCCAUGUGCUCUUUUUACAGGAAAACACAUGCCUUCAUCAAAAGCCGCAGCGCAGAGCUCACUGCUGCCCUGACUCUAGAGAAACCUCUCACCUUGAUCGUCAUGGCUGUGGCCAUCUUUUCUCUGCUCUUUAUUCCCUAUCACAUCAUGCGCAAUGUUAGGAUCGCCUCCCGGAUGCAGUCCUGGAAGCAUCCCUCAUGCGGCAAGGACCUUAUCAGUAUGAUUUAUACUGUUACAAGGCCCAUUGCCUUUUUGAACAGUGUAAUUAACCCCAUCUUUUACUUCUUAAUGGGGGAUCACUUUAGGGAGAUGCUGGUGAGUAACGCAAGGUAUCUCUUUAAAAGGGUCACGCCUUGGUACAAAUGAUGCUAAAUGCACUUCUUGGACUGAUGGAAACUGCGUGGAAGGCUGGAGAGCUUUGGCUCACUGGUGCACAACAUUUGAUGAUUGCUUGGGAUUCGGAUGCUAUGCAACGGUCUAUCCCCCUUAAAGCGCUUGAGUCCAAGUGCCUGUGCAAAGCUGCACUCAGAUUAAACUGAGAAGAGGAAUGAAGCCCCACACCACUGACCUUGCCCCUGCCUGGAUAGCUCAGGUGGUUAGAGCAUGGUGAUGAUGACACCAAGGUUGCAGGUUUGAUCCCCAUAUGGGGCAGCUGCAUAUUCCUACAUCACAGGCAGUUGGACUUGAUAUCCUCAGGGACCCUUCCAACUCUACAAUUCUAUGAUUCUAUGACAUUACACAGCCAAGCUAGCCUGGCUCCUGACAUCUUGGCUCCUGACAUCUUGGCUCCUGCCAAGGAGUGUGGUGGAGUCUCCUUCUUUGGAGGUCUUUAAGCAGAGGCUUGACAACCAUAUGUCAGGAGUGCUCUGAUGGUGUUUCCUGCUUGGCAGGGGGUUGGACUCGAUGGCCCUUGUGGUCUCUUCCAACUCUAUGAUUCUAUGAUUCUAUCUCCACUAGGAGUGCAGCUAUCUGGAUACAGGUGGAUCUGGAAAGUGCCUAGAAACUUCAGUUGAUGCAGGAUGAAGCCACCAGGCUGUUGACUGGCUUAAAUGUUUAAAGCUUUAUAUAGGGCAAGACCUGGAUAAUGAAACAGCCUAGCAUCUUAUAAGACUGUGGUCUCCAAUGCAACCUGACCAUCGACAGAGAUCUGUGCACAACAGACCUUUUGGAGGUUAGGCAAGUGGGUUCUGUCGAGCCGAAUUUUCAGUGGUGGCCACUGCAACUAUGGAGCUCUGUGUAAAUGUUUGCCUUUUGUCAUCAUUGCUAUUUUUUAGACGCCAGGCCAAUUCCAUCUUCCCAUGUGUAAAUGGUAUUCAUGAUUGUUAUUGUGAGUCAGCUCCCUUUGUUUGUAUAUAUCGCUGGUAUUUUAUAUGAGCUGUUUUUAUAUAUCUUGCAGCUGCUACCCACAUGUUCAAUGAACACAUAUGGGGUGGGGUGGUUGUGUGGCAUCUUUGCAGACGUGCCCUUCCCCAUCCUGUACUUGAAUGCUUGAGAGUGUGGCCUGCAUGUAUUGAAUGGGCUAUUUUAUUUAUUGAUUUUGUAUGCUGCCUUGGGGGCUUUUAAGUAUAGAGAUUUCUUAAAUAAACACAGUUGAGAACUAGCUUGCU